AUGGAGGGUGAAGAUUCAUUUGAAAAAUAUGUUAUGAGGUUUGGAAAUAUAACGUCAAGGCUUACAAGUUUUAUGUUUUACCAUGGUCAUGAGGAAUGGUCAAAAGAAAGCGAAGUUGUGAUGGGGCAAAACGGUUGUUUGAAGUUGGUUGAAAUGCGGAGCAAUUUGGAAUAUAAGUCUAGGAUUUUUGUAGUCUUUUCUUUUGAUGUAAUGUAUUGGAUACUUGGAUGUAAUGGUCCUUAG